CCCAACAGUUGUCAGCUAUCCAGGCUAUACGUGCCUGUGACUGUGUUACACUGUUGGCAGAGCAAACGCUGCUUUACAAAGGACUGGCUCCAAGCACUGUUCUGGUGUGGGAACCGAGUACCUUCAGGCAGUGUUGCAUCCCUGAGAGUGGAAUGACUCCUUGUGGAGUUGGUCCUGGUCUAGGUGCAAACAGU